rnacentral:rRNA from 1 species
AGUGAACGCUGGCGGUAGGCCUAACACAUGCAAGUCGAACGGCAGCACAGUAAGAGCCUGCUCUUACGGGUGGCGAGUGGUGGACGGGUGAGGAAUACAUCGGAAUCUACUUUUUCGUGGGUGAUAACGUAGGGAAACUUACGCUAAUACCGCAUACGACCUACGGGUGAAAGCAGGGGAUCUUCGGACCUUGCGCGAUUGAAUGAGCCGAUGUCGGAUUAGCUAGUUGGCGGGGUAAAGGCCCACCAAGGCGACGAUCCGUAGCUGGUCUGAGAGGAUGAUCAGCCACACUGGAACUGAGACACGGUCCAGACUCCUACGGGAGGCAGCAGUGGGGAAUAUUGGACAAUGGGCGCAAGCCUGAUCCAGCCAUACCGCGUGGGUGAAGAAGGCCUUCGGGUUGUAAAGCCCUUUUGUUGGGAAAGAAAAGCAGCAGGUUAAUACCCCGCUGUUCUGACGGUACCCAAAGAAUAAGCACCGGCUAACUUCGUG